ensembl:processed_transcript
UCCCAAGGGGACUGGUGGAGCCCUCACAACCUGCUCAGGGCUACUUGACUCUGCAGGGCCGAGGAGUCUAGUCUAGCUCCAGGACCAACCAAGCCUCCUCUGCGCCAGUUCGGGAACUUCUGGAGGAAGCCGGGCUACCGAUGCCACGCUGAUGGAUCCAGCUUUGGAAAGGCCUGGUUGCUCUGGACAAGAAACCCUGAUUGGUAAAGAACAACUGACCAGCUGUCCCCAGUCCUGUCUGGGGUCAUGUGAGCCUCCAGUCAAAUGAUGGCUCCAGAGUGUUCCCUCGGUGCAGCAAUUGAAAGGGAGGCUUUGCUCAGCGCAAACCACCAACCCAGGUUCCUCACUGGGCCUCAGCCCACCACAGAGUGAGAACAGGUCUCCAUCUAGCAUGGGGGAAACAGGUUGUGUAGCCUUGUCCUCAGACAUGAACUGUCUGCCUGCAGCUACUCUCUCUCUUUGUUUUUGUUUGUUUGUUUGCUUGCUUGCUUUUUUUUUUUUUUCGAGACAGGGUUUCUCUGUGUAGUCCUGGCUGUCCUGGAAAUCACUGGCUUCGAACUCAGAAAUCUGCCUGCCUCUGCCCCCUCCCAAGUGCUGGGAUUAAAGGCAUGCGCCACCACGCCUGGCUCUGGCUGUCUCUCUUAAAGAGUCCCCCCCUUUGAUUUUUUAAAGGUGUGACCUUGAAGUAGCCUCUGAGGUAUGAGAGGUAUUUGGGGAA